GUGGGGGAGCUGAGCACUGAGACCAAGGGCUAAAGCUGGGAGAUUGAAAAAUGCAGACCACCAAGGCACUGCUCAUUUCUCCAGUUCUGAUCUGCUCCCGUACCAGGGGUCUAAUCAGGCCUGUGUCUGCCUCCCUCCUGAGUAGACCAGAGGCCCCAUCUAAACAGCCUUCCUGCAGCAGCUCUCCUCUCCAGGUGGCCAGACGGGAAUUCCAGACCAGUAUUAUUUCCCGGGACAUCGACAUGGCAGCCAAGUUCAUUGGUGCUGGGGCCACCACAGUUGGUGUGGCUGGAUCAGGGGCUGGCAUUGGCACAGUGUUUGGUAGCUUGACUAUUGGAUAUGCCAGGAACCCAUCUCUCAAGCAGCAGCUCUUCUCCUAUGCCAUUCUGGGCUUUGCCCUGUCUGAGGCCAUGGGACUCUUCUGUUUGAUGGUCACCUUCCUCAUCCUCUUUGCCAUGUGAGGCUCCAUGGGGUCACCCAGCCAUCCCUGCUGCUUUGACUCCAUGCCAGUCCUGGUGCUGGAGUGUGCUGAGCUUUACCAUUAAACA